CACAGCUCAGUUUGCAUCGGACUCUGCAAAGAAACGGACGUGUGUGCAAUCCGGUCAGGAUAACUGAGAUUUCAGGACUCAGAAGCGGCAAAAACUCAAACAUUUUCGCAAAAGAAAAAUUUUCGUAAAUCCAGUGACUAAAUUCUUCGAGUUUAAAAGUAAUUUUUAAAUAAAACUAAAAUUUAAUAAUAUAAAAAUAUAUUAAAUUAAUUAUUAAAGAAUAAUAAAAAAAAAUAAUAAUAAUUAAACAGCUGUUUGUGGGCCAGCAAAAAUCAAUGGCAAGGCCAAAUAGGCCGACAGACUGAAAACAGUUUGUUGGCGUCUCUUUGGCGGUAACAUCAAAAGGCAUCAAAGCAACAGAACCAACAGCAGCUUUUCCCCCCAAAAAACGGAAGCUUUUCCGCAGUGCCGAUGUGUGCGUCUGUGUGCGCGCUUUUCCUUUUCCGUUUUUUGUGUUUUUUUCACGCUUCUGCGCGCCACUUUUUAUUACAUUUUCGUUUAAGCCACUUGCCCUCUCUUUUAUUUUGUUUUCGGGGCAGAAAAUACAUCUCUUAUGAACGCUCUUUACGGGCUGGUAUAAUUCUGCUCUGAUUUAGCCAAGAUUUGGUCUUUGUUUUGCAUUGGAUUGCAUGAACUUGACACCGAAUGCAAGCCAAAGGACCACAGACUUGCCACCUAAGAAGCACUUUGAAUUACGGCCCCAAAUGAAUCAUAUUAAAUCAUCACACACUUUUCCUGCUAGUUAAUCCGUUAUAAUUUUUAUUUAUAUUUAUUAAUUUUCAUUUAAAAUUCACUGUUGUGUGUGUGGGAGUUUGUGAGCGUCAUAAUUCCUGCCGUCGCCAUGUCAAAGUACAAAAUUGCAAUUAAAUGUAAACACUCAACACGGCUUAACGUAACUCGAAUGAAAAGUUGAAAAAAUGUUUCAAGCGGGGAUUAUGUGAAGUUCUGAUAAAGCGACCACAUUAAUAAUUAUUCAACAAAAAUCAGACAAGCAGACAUGGAAAAAGUGGCUUAAUUAAAGCGUUAAAUGCCCGGGAAAUGUGAAAACUGAACAAGCAAUAAGAACAAAACAUGAAAUAUAAUUAAAUAUUUUACGAAACGAAAGCAGCAGCAUAUUUAAAUGCAAAAACUAAAGAUAGGAUGUGCAAAUAUUUAGUCGCAAAGUUCAGAACCAUUAUUUUAUAUAAUUCAAGUAUUUAAUUAAAGAAAAUAAUAAUAAAAUAGAGAAAUAACAAAAAUUGUUAAAUUUGCGCAAAAAAAAUACAGAACAAUUGCGGCUUAAUGAAUAUUGACAAACUGAAUAAUAGACAAAUUAACCAGGAAAACAGAGUGAAAUAUUUAUAAAUAUAUAAACUAAUAAAAAAUAAUAAAAUUCACAUUAAACAAAUUUACGAUUUUCCGACAUACAUUUUGUAAAUAUUUCAUUAUGCGAAAAACUGUUGCCUACUUUGAAGCUACUGCCAGUUUUGAUGUUUCCGGUUGCCAUUUUUGCUGGCCGACCGACCACUUGACUGCCAUUUAAAAUAAUUAUGAUUACACGCUCGCUAACAGGGAGCCCAGUGCAAACAUUCGCGUGGAACAACAAACCCGAAUAAACGGCAGUUUAAUUUAAUAAUUCAGCGGAGCACUUAGGCAAGAACAUUAUCACCGUAUAGCCUACAGUAGAGCCUCCGAAAGAACCAACAUGGGACCAAUACGCAGCAUCCUGGGCUGCUUCUUUCUGCUGCUCAUCAUCGGAUUAGCGCCACAACAGGCUUCCAGUGCCAAUGAAUGGGAAUCGACUUGCAGCGAGGACCAAUUCCGCUGUGGCAACGGAAAAUGCAUUCCGGGGCGAUGGGUCUGCGAUCGGGAGAAUGACUGUGCCGAUGGAAGCGACGAAUCGGAGUCCAAGUGCCGAACCCCAACAUGUUCGCCCGAGCAGUUUGCCUGCAAGUCGGGCGGGGGCGAAUGCAUUCCCUUGUCCUGGAUGUGCGAUCAGAGCAAGGAUUGUCGCGAUGGAAGCGAUGAGGCGAUGUGCAAUAGGACGUGUCGCUCGGAUGAGUUUGCCUGCGGCAACGGACGUUGCAUUCAAAAUCGCUUUAAGUGCGACGAGGACGAUGAUUGCGGCAAUAUGAUGGAUGAAAUGAACUGCAAUGAAAAGCCAAAAUGUGAUCCCAAUUCCUUUACUUGCCCCGGUGGCAACUGCAUUCCCUUGGAAUGGGUCUGCGACGGGGACAACGACUGCCCGCAUGGAGAGGAUGAGAAGCAAAACUGCACCAUCACCCCAACGCUUAACUUCUGCAGCAGGGACGAGUUUCAGUGUUCGGAUCAUAUCACUUGCCUGCUUAAGCAAUGGGUUUGCGAUGGCGAGGAAGACUGUCCGGAUGGAGAGGAUGAGUCGCCAACACGUUGCGGGAAGCCAGCGUGUCGUCCGGAUCAGUUCCAGUGCGAUGAUCGCAGCUGCAUCGCCGGUCACUUGACCUGUAACGGGGAAAAGAACUGUGCAGAUGGCAGCGACGAGAGGAAGUGUAACAUCAGUGCGCCAGUGAAGAUUUGCAAUGCGACGAACGAAUUCGAUUGCGGCGGUGGUCAGUGUAUCCCGAUUGGCAAGGUCUGUGACCGUAGGAAAGACUGUCCGAAUGGCGAGGAUGAGCCGGCAGGAAAGUGUAACAUUAACGAGUGUGCCACCAAGAAUGGCGGCUGCAUGCACAAAUGUGUGAAUCAGGAGGUGGGCUACCGAUGCGAAUGCCACGAUGGCUACAAAUUGGCCGCUGAUAACCACACUUGUGUGGACAUCGAUGAGUGUGAGACUCCUGGUAUUUGUUCUCAGGUGUGCGUCAACGAGAUUGGAGCCUUCAAGUGCGAGUGCGAGGCGGGCUACAUGAGAGUACUGAAAAAUCACACCAGAUGCAAGGCCAGUGAAGGUCAUGCCUCCCUGCUCUUGGCCAGGCGCCAUGAUAUCCGGAAAAUAGCACUCGAUCGUCCGGAAAUGACAUCCAUUGUUAAUAGUACAAAAUCAGCCACUGCAUUGGACUUUGUCUUCCGCACCGGUAUGAUCUUCUGGAGCGAUGUUACCACGCAGAGUAUCUACAAGGCUCCCAUUGAUGAGGGUAAUGAGAGAACUGUGGUGCUGACUAAAUCCUCCGUGACCUCCGAUGGCCUGGCUGUAGACUGGAUCUACAACCAUGUCUACUAUACGGACACAGUCAAGUGCACUAUUGAACUGACCAACUUCGAGGGCAGCAUGGGCAAGGUCCUAGUGGAGGAUUCACUGGACAUUCCCCGUUCUAUUGCCUUAGACCCCAUCGACGGUUGGAUGUACUGGUCCGACUGGGGGGCAUCCCCUCGCAUUGAAAGGGCGGGAAUGGAUGGCUCCCAACGCACUGCCAUUAUCACCUAUGAUGUCAAGUGGCCAAAUGGCAUCACUUUGGAUUUGGUUCAUAAACGCCUCUACUGGGUGGACGGCAAACUAAACUCCAUUUCGUCGUCCAAUUACGAUGGAUCACAAAGGCGGAAUGUUCUUUCCUCCCAUGAAUACCUGAAACAUCCCUUCUCCAUCACCACCUUUGAGGAUAGCGUCUACUGGACCGACUGGGAUAAGCAGGCCGUCUUCAAGGCCAACAAGUUCAACGGGGCGGAUGUGGAACCCGUGACAGCAAUGCAUAUGUUGGAACACCCCAUGGUUGUGCACGUUUACCAUCCGUAUCGCCAACCAGACGGUGUCAACCACUGUCAGUCGGUGAAUGGCCACUGCUCGCAUCUGUGCCUGCCAGCCCCCAGGAUUAACGAACGGAGUCCACGCAUAUCCUGCGCCUGUCCAACGGGCCUGAAACUGAUGCCCGAUGGCCUCAUGUGUGUCGAAGAUCUUGAAGAAAAGACCCGCAGCAACAGCACAGACGCAUCCAACCCGUCAGAUAAAUCUGCAGAAAAUCAAGAAAAGGAUUACGGCCUUAUAGCCUUGAUAGUGAUAGUCAGUUUAACAAGCACAGCUCUCAUAGCUUGCGUAAUCAUUGUCACAUACCGACGUUGCACGCGGGCCGUGAACUCAAUGAACUUUGAGAAUCCCGUCUACCACAAGACCACGGAGGAUCACUUCAGUCUGGAGAAGAACGGAACGCCGCACAUGUACUCCACUGCCAUGGAGGAGGAGGUAAGCGGGUCGGCCCCACCGAUGAGCACUAACCCUAACGACUUUAGCUAUGUCAGAUUCUAGGGUGUGUGUUCUGGCUAGGGUGUUAGCUAAGUUAGUGUUGUACAUAGAUGGUUAAGAGCUCGUAUCAUAGUUGUAACUAGGGCUAACAUGAUUCAAAGAUAAGACUAGUUCUGUAAGUCAUGAAAUUGUUGUGAAAGUAGAAAGUUUUCAAGUUUUGAAUCCUCUCUUUUGUCCAAAAAUAUAUUUAAUUUAACAAAUGCCGCGAGCGAACGAAACCACGGUACCAAUUUAGAUAUUAAAAACGUGCAUAAGCCCUCUUGUUGAAAGCGGCACCAACUGUGUUUAAGGGAACGUCAGAGAUCCAAGGAUCAAAUGCAUAUCCAGCAAAUACUGGCCGGUAGACCGAGAACAUCUACAAAAAAGCAUCUCCUACUAGUAAUUCCUUUUUGGACCAAGGCACCAAAAAACAAACUCAACUAAGAAAGUGAAAGUUCAUUGGAAGAGAAAUGCUGGGAAAAUGAAACUUUCAUUUAGCCGUAAGAGAAAAGAAGAAGAAUGCCAAAAAGAAAAUAGAAAAGACAAGAACGACAGCAUCAGCAUGGGGGAAAAUGAAAAUACUCAACAAAUUCAAUUUGUUGCCUAGUUUAAAAUUUAAUUUAAAUGUAACAACACUAAACACACACCAACACAUACAUAUAUACACUGGCAUAUCGUAGAACACACACACUCACUCACACGCCCAUAAACUAAUAACAACGCAAACUUUUCUAGGCGCAACGUUUUGACAUCAACUAGCGUGGCACCCAGACACACACAAACACAUACAUCAAUGCAUAUCCUAUCCACACCAAUACACAAACAAGACACACACACGAACACACACAAGCCCAGAAGAACUCAGAGAUGGAACGAGCCGGGAUUCAGAGCCAAAAGUCCAACUUUCGUUUCACGUCCAUGAAAUCAAUUGUAAAAAGUUAAGACAUUUCGUUGAAGUUUUGGUACCAAAAGAAACAUUUUGUGAAAUCGAAAAAUAGAGAUAAUAGCUUAACUGAAACUGUUUAUAGACCUAACAAUUAUUGUGACUAGCUAUAAUAUAUAUUUUUUGUUAACUUUAAAUUAAUAAACAAAAAAAGAAGUUAUUAUCUUGAAAGUAAAGUUUUUAGCACCAAGUUGGAUUACUUUUUAGCAAAAUAUUUGAAAAAAAAGCUCUCUGUAAAUACAUAGAAAAUAAAACUAAAAAAAAAAAAAAACUAAAAACGUUUAGAGAAAAUUUACAAAAGAAAUUAAGAAAAAGAAUUUUAGAAUGUUUAACCUUUUUGCUUCGCUCUGUUUUUUCCUUCUUGGGUAUUCAAAACAAUUUGCUGUGAUCAGUUUAAAAGCAUUAAACCUAUCAUUAAAUCAUCUUAUUUGUAGUAAGUUUAAUAUUCUUCUCAUUUAUUUAGUGUGUAAACAAGCUUUCAAAUAUUUUAAUUUAUUUACAAAUUUUUACACAAUAAAACAACUUUACGUGUAUUGGCAA